rnacentral:rRNA from 2 species
GCUUCCGGAGCUAACGCGUUAAGUCGACCGCCUGGGGAGUACGGCCGCAAGGUUAAAACUCAAAUGAAUUGACGGGGGCCCGCACAAGCGGUGGAGCAUGUGGUUUAAUUCGAUGCAACGCGAAGAACCUUACCUACUCUUGACAUCCAGAGAACUUAGCAGAGAUGCUUUGGUGCCUUCGGGAACUCUGAGACAGGUGCUGCAUGGCUGUCGUCAGCUCGUGUUGUGAAAUGUUGGGUUAAGUCCCGCAACGAGCGCAACCCUUAUCCUUUGUUGCCAGCGAUUCGGUCGGGAACUCAAAGGAGACUGCCGGUGAUAAACCGGAGGAAGGUGGGGAUGACGUCAAGUCAUCAUGGCCCUUACGAGUAGGGCUACACACGUGCUACAAUGGCGCAUACAAAGAGAAGCGACCUCGCGAGAGCAAGCGGACCUCACAAAGUGCGUCGUAGUCCGGAUCGGAGUCUGCAACUCGACUCCGUGAAGUCGGAAUCGCUAGUAAUCGUGGAUCAGAAUGCCACGGUGAAUACGUUCCCGGGCCUUGUACACACCGCCCGUCACACCAUGGGAGU